UAUGCAGGGUCGCGGGGCAGGCCUGGGGCGGCGCUGGCAGCCUCCUUGCUCGGAAACCUGACUCUGGGGCAGCUGCAGUGGGGCUUGAGGAAGAAGACAAAUUCAACACCCUGCCUGACAUCAAACACCUUUAAGUAACCAGACUGCUUCAGCCAUUAUCUGCUCCUAAUUUACAUUCUCACAGAACAGCUUUUUACAAAUGCACUUUUCCACUCAGGAGAAACCCCAACAUUUCAGGUUUCUCCUCUGCAAGAUGAAGUUUCCUUUCUACCUGGGAGAACUCUUAACAUCUUGGAUUGCUCCUUUGCCUGAUGAAGGGUGUCUGAACCCAAAAGGUUGCAAAGAAAAACAUGUUAUUUUGCAACUAUUUAGUUGGUCUAAUAAAAGAUAUCACCUCUGCCCCAA